rnacentral:rRNA from 1 species
ACAGCAGUAGCCGCGGGAAAACGGAGGGUGCAGGCGUUACUCGGAAUCACUGGGCGUAAAGGACGCGUAGGCGGAUUAUCAAGUCUCUUGUGAAAUCUAACGGCUUAACCGUUAAACUGCUUGGGAAACUGAUAAUCUAGAGUAAGGGAGAGGCAGAUGGAAUUCUUGGUGUAGGGGUAAAAUCCGUAGAUAUCAAGAAGAAUACCUAUUGCGAAGGCGAUCUGCUGGAACUUAACUGACGCUAAUGCGUGAAAGCGUGGGGAGCAAACAGGAUUAGAUACCCGAGUAGUCCCUGUCUCUUAUAC